GAGUUUGAUCCUGGCUCAGGAUGAACGCUGGCGGCGUGCUUAACACAUGCAAGUCGAGCGAAGCAUUUAGGAUGAUCUCUUCGGAUUGAGUCUUAUAUGACUGAGCGGCGGACGGGUGAGUAACGCGUGGGUAACCUGCCUCAUACAGGGGGAUAACAGUUAGAAAUGACUGCUAAUACCGCAUAAGCGCACAGGGCUGCAUGGCCUGGUGUGAAAAACUCCGGUGGUAUGAGAUGGACCCGCGUCUGAUUAGCUAGUUGGAGGGGUAACGGCCCACCAAGGCGACGAUCAGUAGCCGGCCUGAGAGGGUGAACGGCCACAUUGGGACUGAGACACGGCCCAGACUCCUACGGGAGGCAGCAGUGGGGAAUAUUGCACAAUGGGGGAAACCCUGAUGCAGCGACGCCGCGUGAAGGAAGAAGUAUCUCGGUAUGUAAACUUCUAUCAGCAGGGAAGAAAAUGACGGUACCUGACUAAGAAGCCCCGGCUAACUACGUGCCAGCAGCCG
rnacentral:rRNA from 1 species